rnacentral:lncRNA from 1 species
CUAUUACAUGAAAAUGGAAAAAGGAAAAGAGAAGGUGUGUGCACAAGGGCAGCGUCCCCUUCACUAGACACUAGUACAACAGCCUACUCAUAGACACCAGUGCAACAGCUUCACUCUUUCCCCUACAGCCCCCAAAUCAACUCAAAGCCAAAGCCAUGGUGCAGAGAGAGAUCAAAUCAGCCACUCUACCUCUGUACCAUCUCCGUAGAAUGCUCAAGUGUUCAGCCAACAACCAUUCCCUCUUAGUCUCAAACCUCCAGCCAGCAAUCUCACUUCAUUCUCCCCCAUUCCACUAAGGACUUUUGAGAGAGAAAUGGGAGAAUUCAUUGCUGCUGCAAGACUUCAAAGGAGUUUGUCUCCACGGGAAUCAAUAGCAACACAACAGCCACCCAACACAAAACAACCAAGGUAUUUACUAUCCCAUAUGCCCUCUUUCAUGUUAUACAUUUCACGCCCCAACACAAUCGAUGAACAGUUCUUUUUUUUUGAGAUACAGACAAUACGCAUAUGAAUAUAGCUGAACCAUGAGUUUCUGUAAUUGAGAAUAACCGAAAGCAUGUUACAGAAAUAUAAUAACUCAAUCAGUUUUUAUUCACAAGACAAAAGGCAUAAAUGGCAUCAACAGACUAGAAUUUUAUGCGAGAUAAGUGCGUUUUAACAGAUUAGCUUUUGAACCAAGUACUCAAGAUAGCAUUAACAUUUAUGAGAUUCAUAGAGUACUAGAUACCACAAGAAUUCCUUUUACACCGCAAUUGGGGAUCGAACUUAGCAUUUGGGGGAAAGUGGGGAGGGCAUUGUGUUGUACCUGUUCCAUUAAACAAGGAGAAGGGCGGAUGCCUUGAUUCCAUCGGACCAGAGAAGCAGCGACUCGACGGCGUCGAACCAGAGAGAAGAAUGUGGUCGGAAACGGCCGUCUGCUCCGUUGGGUUCCGGAAAAAAGGGUCGCCGGAUUUUGGGACAGGGGCGGCGGGCCGCUAGUCCUUGUGAGCGGAGGAUUCAGCGAGGAUGAGAGAUUGAGAGAGGAAGGGCAAUGGGGCUGGAGUCAGAGGCGGGGGAAAGAGUCGACCUCGCCAGAAUUUGCAGAACAGCGGCUGUAAUUUCUGAGGUCGAAGCUAGGGCUCGACUUCUGCCUCGAAAUGUGAGUGGAAUCGGUGGCGAGGCGCGGCCUCAUCGGAAAUUCAAAGGUUCUGGCGUGAGGCAACAAUUCAAGCCGGCGACGUGAAGGUGUCCUCGACGGAAGCGCGGAUUUAUGAGGCGGCGCUGAUUGAAUUGAGAGAGAGAAGGCUGUUUCAGCUGUGACACUGGGAGAGAGAGGCGGACUUGAACAUGAAGCGAGAGAGCGAGAGAGCGAGAGAGAGAGUGACCGAAAAUGAAGAAAAGAAAUGAGGAUGGGCUAGCUGCUAUUGGGCCGAAUUCAUGGGCUGAUUUAUUUGAGGCUUAAUUAUUCAGCUGGGCUAUUUUACUAACCGGGCCGAUUCUUGUUAAGCAUACUGGGUGUCCCUAUUAAAUAGUUUCUAGGCCCAGUUCUUUAUUUUUAAUUGAGCUUUCUUAUGUUGCUCAUAUUUAAUAAUAAGAUUUUUCCUAUUAUUUAUUUAGCCCGAUAAAGAGUAGUUUAGAUUAAUCUAUUAAUUGGAUUUAGUUAAUUCUGAUUAUGGAUUCUUUUGAACAAGAUUAUUAAUUAGUAAGCGGGUUAGUAUACCUUAAGAUGAGUGGAUUAAUUAAGAUUAAUAAUCCGAUAUCAUAAGACGAGCUUUAAUCCAAUAAUUGGAUUAAUAAUUAAAGGAAUAUGAGUCAUGCAUAUUUAUUAUACGCAUUCUCAUUUAUUUGAGAAUUUUCAUCGAGCUAAGGUUUGACCUUAUGUUCUCGCAUUAAAGGUUAAGCGCAAGAGUAAGAGCUAGUCAAGAGUUACUGAACUGAAGCAAAGCUUUGCUAUCAGGUGGCAUUACUUUCAUAUAUACAAAUGAGUUUAAAUGUUACGUUCAAGCAAGUUAUUUCAUGAUAAAAUCUUUAGUUAAAGUUAUUUCAAGUAUUGUCUUGCCAUAAAUGUUUCAAUUUUAGUAUGAUAUCUAUCUGCUUUGGCUUUGCCAAUGAUGCAAUCGAAUUCGGGUCCUGAGCAGUUGAUAGCUAUCCUGCCAGGACUAGUGUACACCAGUGACCGUGAGUCAUCUAGCGGGUUGGCCGGUCAAGUGACCGUGAGAGGUGGCCACCUCUCCGGCACACAGUUCCAGAUAUGAUAGAUUACAAGAGAACUUAGACUGCAGUCGAACUUUAAGAAUCACAAAUGAAUUUAGUAAGCUUGGGCCUAUUUAGCUAAAACUCCCUUGCUGUACUGUUUAUGAUGGCAUGACAAUUUACAGUUUUAUGAAGCAUGUUUAUAUUUAUACUUAGGCAUACGUGCCCACUGAGUACUCUCGUACUCAGCCCUGCAUAUAUUUCUAAAUGUGCAGGUUGAGAAGUGGCUGAUGGAGAUGAAGUGACGAGUGGUGCUUUUGUCAUUAGUUGAA